UACGUAGGGUGCAAGCGUUAAUCGGAAUUACUGGGCGUAAAGGGCGCGCAGGCGGCUCAUUUUGUCAGGCGUGAAAGCCCCGGGCUUAACCUGGGAACUGCGUUUGAUACGGAUGGGCUAGAGUUCGGGAGAGGAGAGUGGAAUUCCCAGUGUAGAGGUGAAAUUCGUAGAUAUUGGGAAGAACACCGGUGGCGAAGGCGGCUCUCUGGACCGAUACUGACGCUGAGGCGCGGAAAGCGUGGGGAGCAACAGGG
rnacentral:rRNA from 1 species